rnacentral:lncRNA from 1 species
UGCAGGAUCAGAGAAUAAUAUAUUUUGUGGUUCAUGCACUUGGAAAGGACAAACAAGAACUGGCCAGAAUGGACACAGGCUUUUGUUCUUCAGUGCUGCCACUGUUCCAGAAUCCGAUCAGACAAAGUGAGGCUGCCGCAGUACCUACCAAACCUUACGUGUGCGUUGAGAUCAGAAAAUGGGCAAUUUUCUCAGCUCCUCAGGCUCCAAGGUGCUGGCAACACGUGAAGGAGGUCAAAUUGCCACCAGUGGGACGAACACACUUUUCACAGUUCU